ensembl:lncRNA
AAGUGAUGGAUGUACUGACGUGGGUAAAGGGCAUGUUUUUUUCUUCCUUUUUUUGCAGUGCGCUUGUUUUUGCGUAAAGUACUGCUGCUGCUGCGCACGGAACAUCCCCCCUCGCUCUCUCGCUUUCUGGUUGUGUCGAUUUUUUUUUCAUCCUGUGCUCCUAACCAUCAUCCACCCCCUCCUCCUCCUCCUCCUCUUCUUUUUCUCCUCUCUCCACUUCUAUCUCGGCGCUGCGAAGAAGGAAACCGAGGGAACCGAGGAUUGAUGUGUUGCUCGACUUGAAAUUUGCCUCUUCCUUUUUUGCGCACACUGCCCACCCCCCACCACCUCCUCACGCCCGACAGCCUUGCCAUAAAAUAAUUGCUGCUUCCCCCCCCCCCUUUUUUUUUUUUGAUGAUUUCCGAUCUUUUUUCAUGUGAUGACAGUAAACGGCUGUGUGCGUGUGUGUGUGUCUGUGUGCCCUCGAUGUUCUCCGGCUGACCGUGAUAUAACCAUCUAAGGACCGUUUGGAUGCGGGAGGCAGAGGCUCUGACGCUCCGGGAAGCUUCGUCCAUGCCUCCUUGUCCUCCUCCUGCCUGCGACCGGCUGUGUGACCGGUGAUGCUCGGCCUCUCCGCCUGGAUGCGCCCCUCUCUCCGCGGUGUGCCGUCGGUACCGCUGCCCGUGUCCCCCUGUAGCAGAAUUCCACUGUUGCCGGAGAAAGGUCUAGGGACCACAUAUGGAAACUGGGGACCAGAAUUUUAGGAAAAAGGAAAACUAAGCAGGCUGUCGUUUGAUUUGCACAACUUGAUGUUGUUCCUCUUCUUCUUUGCUUGAUUUUUAUUCCUAUUAUUUGGAGAAAGAGGGGGGCAGGAGGAGGGGGGUUGAUCGUCCCUGGUUGGUUUAUUUGUUUAUUUAUUUUUAAAUUCUCCAUCCUGUCUUCUAAGGAAUGGCUGGUUUUUAUGGCAGUCAUGGCACUGGCUGAUAUUUGGCAGUAUUUAUCAUUCUGUCCUUGAUUUGGAGGUGUGUGUGUGUGUGUGUCUGUGUGUGUGUGUGUGGUUGGGGUGGGUGAAGUGCUUGGUUCUGCUGGUUUGAGUCUGUCCUCUCAUUCCUUUUGGUACAUUUAGUCCUAAUUUCCCUAACAUAUCCCGGGCCCUGCCUGCCUGUCUGUCUUGCCUGUCUCCCAUCAGAAUACAUGUGCUCAGCCUGAUUCGUCAGAAGUGCUUGACAUGAUUCACUGAUCCACCUGGGUUCACACCG